rnacentral:lncRNA from 1 species
AUAGAUGAAGGCAGAGGAUGCAAGGAAUUAUGAAGUGAGCAGGAUUCUUUUACCAGGUCCUUGCAAUGGUAGAUCCUUCCUCUAUAGCCCAAAAGGAGACGUGUUGUUCAGCAAUGGCUGGAGUUUCUGAAAUGAUUCACCAAGUCUCCCUCAGGCCUGUAUAGCAGAAGAUGGUGUCAACAGGAUCUUGCUUCUGAACCAUGAACUAAACUAACCGCCCAGCCACGGAGCCUGAGGCAAACCUCCAAGGCAGGAGAAUGCAGAGGAAACAGAAUCUUCUGCAGCAUGAGUAGCAGCACGGAGCUGUAGAGCCAGUCUGCGUAUCCGGACGAGCAUGCCUCUCAUUGAGUAACAUUGUAUAGGUCAUUUUAAGGUGCUGGACCAUUGUCUAGCAGGCCGUGGAUGGUGUCCUAUGGCUCUUUAAUGGAGAUAAAAACUACUUAAGAUUGAAGAAUUAUUACUGAGUGAUUAGCGAUGCUGACUUGAGAAGAAGGGGGGAGAUAUGUUACUUGGAUAUGACUCACAGAAGUAGACUCUCAUGUUUGUUUACUGAGUAACAGUAUAGCCUGCUAUAUGCAGAUUUGGGUUCAAGUUACAUCCUGCUUUUCAAAAACUAUGUGUGUUCAAAAAAUAGGGUUUUGUAAUCUAUAAUCGCAAUUUUAAUUCUCUUACUUUACAUGUAAAACUAAAAUAGUACUUUCUAGGACUUGAAUGAAAGAAAAAUAAGUUAAGGACACAAAA